rnacentral:rRNA from 1 species
UACGGAGGGUGCGAGCGUUUGUUCGGAAUCACUGGGCGUAAAGGGCGUGUAGGCGGUCCGCUAAGUCUGAUGUGAAAGCCCGGGGCUCACCCCCCGGAAGGGCAUUGGAAACUGGCGAACUCGAGUCCCGGAGAGGAAGGUGGAAUUCCUGGUGUAGCGGUGAAAUGCGUAGAUAUCAGGAGGAAUACCGGUGGCGAAGGCGGCCUUCUGGACGGUGACUGACGCUGGAGACGCGAAAAGCGUGGGGAGCAAACAGG